rnacentral:RNase_P_RNA from 1 species
AGCAGACUGGGCAGCCGCACGCUUUAUGCGUGAGGAAAGUCCGGGCCCCAUAGAGCAGGAUAACGGCUAACGGCCGCCGAGGGCGACCUCAGGGAAAGUGCAACAGAGAUAUACCGCCGGCUUCGCCGGUAAGGGUGGAAAGGCGAGGUAAGAGCUCACCAGCGUGCGGGGAACCGCACGGCUCUGCAAACCCUAUCCGGAGCAACACCGACUGGAGAGACACGCUUGCUCGGCGCAUUCUCCGACAGGUGGCUUGAGCGCAGCGGCAACGCUGCGCCUAGAUAGAUGGCUGCCUUCAAUGACAGAACUCGGCUUACAGGUCUGGUCG